AGCCAGAGACCUGGCCCGCGUCUCCCCGCGCCUCUCCCCGCGACCCUCGUUCCUCCUCCCGCCGCCGCCGCCGCCGCCCACGAUGGACGAAGUGAGAGGAAAGAGCCUCGGGAGACCGUCGCCUCUCCUCACCGGCCUUCUCCCAGGUUCCCGAUCUGGAGCCUCUCACCUUCUCCUAGAUCUGGAGCGGGAGGGACGGACGCCGGCGAGGCCAGCCUCCCCUUCACACACGGAGGUUGUUGAGAUUAUUGAUCGGUAUGAUCAUGCAUGUGUCCCACCUAACAUGACUGAUAAUAAGCUUGCGUACAUCCAGAAUGAGGCUAUAUCCAAAGAGUGCACAAGGACUCUCACGGUUACAAAGGAUACGAAGCAGCCAAUUUAUGCCUACUACCAACUUGACAACUUUUAUCAGAAUCAUAGGAGGUGAACGCCCACAACCCGCCUUUGAUUCUUGAGGUGUAUUGUGUACUCUAAGAUACAUUGCCCUUGAUGCUUUUCGUGAUUUGGCAUGGAUGUUUGGUUCCUAUUAAUUUAAAGGGUCAGGAUUCUGUACUAGACGUGAUGAGAUAAAAUGAGGUCUGAAUUUUUUAGCCAUGCUUUCUUAGCUCAUGAAGGCAGGAGCAUAUGUGAUUUUUCUGUACCACCUUCCCGCGGCUCUGAGGAUUUUGUCUGCUCGCUGCCUCUCCGCUAUUUAUUUGUUGUGUCUACUGCAUUGUUUGUUCUGCCACCCUUUUCCUCAGUUGCUAGCGGGGGGCCUUGGCUUAUCGUAUUGUUUGUUGCCUUCCUCUCAUAGGUUCGUUGGUAUUGUAAACCAUUUUUGUUGUAGUAAUAACUACAAUGUCAAAUAAAUUUACAUUUCACCUUGCUUCCACUAUUAUUCAAGUUUUUCCCUGCUUAUUGGUCGUACUAGCAAGAUGGUUUUUGUUUUUUUACCGUGUCUAACAUAGUGUAUUUCUACGAUUUUUCUCUGUUAAAACAUAUCCACUUCCAUGCUCUUUUCUCUAUUUUAGUACACAAUAGUAUGGCUGCAUACUACCAAUUGCAGAAAUUAUUCAUUUGCCACUAAAAUAUAUAUUUUCCUAUUCACAAAUUAAAUAACAACAAAGAUGAAGUUGGUCCCCGGAUGCCUAAUAUGUUCUUUCAUAUCCUGGUCAGUUUACCAGGUAACAGAAUUAAUACUUCUUGUUGGUUCAAUAGUCAAUACCAGUGUUGUGAGAAAAUUCCUUACGGUUGUUGUAUUUUGGUAGCUUCUUCUUUUGCAAGUGGCAAAUUACUGUUAUGUAUAUGUGGAAUCCUAUUAAAUCUGUGCAUUGGUUUCAGUCAUACUUUUCUAAAUGGAGUAUAGUUCAAGACUGUUUUGUUCAUUAAAUCAUUCCUUCUACCUUCCAAGUGUGUCGUUGGCACACCUCAAAUUACUUCUACUUAUACAUGUAUUCAAUGUUUGGCGGCUCGAUCCGCUCCUGGAUCGGGAGAGGAGGAAGGGAGGUGGGGGCCGGCCGUCUCUGUGCCUCCUCGACGCCGAGCUGCGGCUGCUCCGUGUGUGCGCGCUCUCUCUCUCUCAGAUAAGGAGAACUUUAACCUUGCGCCCACCUAUGGCAAUAUUGCCCUCUUUAUAUUCUCCCUCGCUCAUCAGCAGCAGCGAUGGUGGCGUCAUUGUCGGCCUUGCAGCAUGUGGCAUAAUCAUGUCCAUUGCCUACUCUGGGGCAGAUCUUUGAAAGUUCCAAGUUGGUUAAUGUUGAUUUUUGCUCAUGCACAACCCAUCAUAGGAAUUAGUAGGAUCCUCUUCGAUGGAUGUAAGGACUGCAACAGGUUUCUUUCAGCAGCCUGGGGUUGUUAAGAAGAGGGUCGGGAUUGCUCUGGGCAGAUGCUUAAAUUCCUGGAUGUAAACGCACACUUGUCUCCUACACAGGCCAAAAUACUAUUGGAGAUAAGGAUACCCGCACUGCUGCUGUUGCGUUUGGUUAGGGAGGGGCUUCUUCGUCUGCUUUGCCGUGCGGUGGCUGUGCGGCUGCUUGUUCCUUCUUGUCCGGUGUACAUGAGAAGCUCCAAUUUUGUCGGCAAUAGCCACUGGAGAAAGUAGUGAUUGGGUUUAUAUGGGAUAGUUAUGUAUGUCCAUUGUGUGAUGGGAAAUACAAUGCAGUGGUUAAUUGUCACAUGGCUUCUCAAUAGUGGCUUCUCAGUAAAAAAAAAGUUAUAUGAUGUAUGAUAGCCAUGAGUAUGAUGAUUUUUCGGAUGGGCGGUAAGCUUCCCAUGUUUGAUGUUUUUUUUUACUUUUUAAAAUUGAACGAUGCUGGUGAGAAUAGUACUGUGGUGUACACUUCUAUUUGGUCAUAUAUUUUGUCCUUUUUUGGUUC